CUACGCUGCAUCCCGCCCGCAGGGACCGCGCUCUCGUUGGCUGUUUCGACUUGGCCCUGCUUUCCUCCUUCCGGACCAGGAUCCUCGGACUUACAAACCGUGAUCCCGACUCCUCUUUUAGCGCUUUCCUUCACCCCUUUAUUGGGUUUGGAUUUUCCCGUACGCCCCCUCGCUUUUUUAACCGUUUGCCAGUUCCUAAUUUUUUUCCAUUUUGAGGUUCUUUCAUUCCCGAUUGCUUUAAGCCCUCUUUUUCACUUUAAUAAGUAACAUCUCUCCCCUCCGCCCCCCAAAUUCAAAUAGAAAGUAUGUUGGGUUGGUGGGAAGGGACCCUACACAGACAGGGAAAUCGGGUGGGCCGGCGAUAAAGCCCUCUUGACCUGGGAGAGAGUUGAGGCCCGUUUCUAAUAAUAAUAUGACGGAAGUGGCGUCAGGGUUUUUUCAGGUAAAAAUUCCAUUAAGCUUCCAGCAUGGUGUAUUAGUUUUACACCGGAAGACAGCGUCAACUUUUUGUUACGAUAAGGUAUUAAGGUUAAUGUUCGUGAAGAAAUGGAAGAGUUUUUUCCAAGAAUGUGGAAGAUAAAUCAAGAUAAAAGAAGGCUAAUGAAAAGUGUUAAAGAUCAGAAAAUUAAAAUUGAAUGGGGGAAAAAAUUGAACAGAAGAUUGGUCAGAUAGAAGCACUUGAAUAUUUUUAAGGCUAUAAUGAAUUGUUUGAAUUGGGGAAGAAUACACGAAGUAUGAAAAAUGAAAAACUCAAUGAAGAAUGAAGAAAAGUAGAAAGCAAGAGUGAA